rnacentral:rRNA from 1 species
GAUGAACGCUGGCGGCGUGCCUAAUACAUGCAAGUCGAGCGAACGGACGAGAAGCUUGCUUCUCUGAUGUUAGCGGCGGACGGGUGAGUAACACGUGGAUAACCUACCUAUAAGACUGGGAUACCUUCGGGAAACCGGAGCUAAUACCGGAUGAUAUUUUGAACCGCAUGGUUCAACAGUGAAAGACGGUCUUGCUGUCACUUAUAGCUGGAUCCUCGCUGCAUUAGCUACUUGGUAAGGUAACGGCUUACCAAGGCAACGAUGCAUAGCCGACCUGAGAGGGUGAUCGGCGACACUGGAACUGAGACACGGUCCAGACUCCUACGGGAGGAAGCAGUAGGGAAUCUUCCGCAAUGGGCGAAAGCCUGACGGAGCAACGCCGCGUGAGUGAUGAAGGUCUUCGGAUCGUAAAACUCUGUUAUUAGGGAAGAACAUAUGUGUAAGUAACUGUGCACAUCUUGACGGUACCGAAUCAGAAAGCCACGGCUAACUACGUG